rnacentral:rRNA from 1 species
UAGGGAAUAUUGGUUAAUCUGCGAAAGCGGGAACCAGCAACGCCGCGUGCACGAUGAAGGCCUUCGGGUUGUAAAGUGCUUUUUUGAGAGGAUGAGGAAGGACAGUACUCUUAGAAUAAGCUUCGGCUAACUACGUGCCAGCAGCCGCGGUAAAACGUAGGAAGCGAGCGUUAUCCGGAUUUACUGGGCGUAAAGCGUGUGUAGGCGGUUUGAUAAGUUGGAUGUGAAAGCUCCUGGCUUAACUGGGAGAGGUCGUUCAAAACUAUCAGACUUGAGAGUGGUAGAGGGAGGUGGAAUUCCGGGUGUAGUGGUGAAAUGCGUAGAUAUCCGGAGGAACACCAGGUGGCGAAACGCGGCCUCCUGGCCCAUUUCUGACGCUCAGACACGAAAGCUAAGGUAG